UAGGGAAUCUUCGGCAAUGGGGGGAACCCUGUCCGAGCAACGCCGCGCGAGUGAAGAAGGUUUUUGGAUCGUAAAGCUCUGUUGUUAAGGAAGAACGAGUGUGAGAAUGGAAAGUUCAUGCUGUGACGGUACUUAACCAGAAAGGGACGGCUAACUACGUGCCAGCAGCCGCGGUAAUACGUAGGUCCCGAGCGUUGUCCGGAUUUAUUGGGCGAAAAGCGAGCGCAGGCGGUCAAUUAAGUCUGAUGUGAAAGCCCCCGGCUCAACCGGGGAGGGGCAUUGGAAACUGGUUGACUUGAGUGCAGAAGAGGAGAGUGGAAUUCCGUGUGUAGCGGUGAAAUGCGUAGAUAUAUGGAGAAACACCAGUGGCGAGGGCGACUCUCUGGUCUGUAACUGACGCUGAGGCUCGAAAGCGUGGGUAGCAAACAGG
rnacentral:rRNA from 1 species